rnacentral:rRNA from 1 species
ACAGCAGCCGCCGCGGUAAUACAGAGGGUGCGAGCGUUAAUCGGAUUUACUGGGCGUAAAGCGUGCGUAGGCGGCUAAUUGAGUCGGAUGUGAAAUCCCCGAGCUUAACUUGGGAAUUGCAUUCGAUACUGGUUAGCUAGAGUGUGGGAGAGGAUGGUAGAAUUCCAGGUGUAGCGGUGAAAUGCGUAGAGAUCUGGAGGAAUACCGAUGGCGAAGGCAGCCAUCUGGCCUAACACUGACGCUGAGGUACGAAAGCAUGGGGAGCAAACAGGAUUAGAUACCCCUGUAGUCCCUGUCUCUUAUAC